rnacentral:rRNA from 1 species
AAUAGCUGCAUUGCUUGACGUUAGCGACAGAAGAAGCACCGGCUAAUUCCGUGCCAGCAGCCGCGGUAAUACGGAGGGUGCGAGCGUUAAUCGGAAUUACUGGGCGUAAAGCGCAUGCAGGUGGUUCGUUAAGUCAGAUGUGAAAGCCCGGGGCUCAACCUCGGAACUGCAUUUGAAACUGGCGGACUAGAGUACUGUAGAGGGGGGUAGAAUUUCAGGUGUAGCGGUGAAAUGCGUAGAGAUCUGAAGGAAUACCGGUGGCGAAGGCGGCCCCCUGGACAGAUACUGACACUCAGAUGCGAAAGCGUGGGGAGCAAACAGGAUUAGAUACCCUGGUAGUCCACGCCGUAAACGAUGUCUACUUGGAGGUUGUGGCCUUGAGCCGUGGCUUUCGGAGCUAACGCGUUAAGUAGACCGCCUGGGGAGUACGGUCGCAAGAUUAAAACUCAAAUGAAUUGACGGGGGCCCGCACAAGCGGUGGAGCAUGUGGUUUAAUUCGAUGCAACGCGAAGAACCUUACCUACUCUUGACAUCCAGAGAAGCCAGCGGAGACGCAGGUGUGCCUUCGGGAGCUCUGAGACAGGUGCUGCAUGGCUGUCGUCAGCUCGUGUUGUGAAAUGUUGGGUUAAGUCCCGCAACGAGCGCAACCCUUAUCCUUGUUUGCCAGCGAGUAAUGUCGGGAACUCCAGGGAGACUGCCGGUGAUAAACCGGAGGAAGGUGGGGACGACGUCAAGUCAUCAUGGCCCUUACGAGUAGGGCUACACACGUGCUACAAUGGCGCAUACAGAGGGCAGCCAACUUGCGAAAGUGAGCGAAUCCCAAAAAGUGCGUCGUAGUCCGGAUUGGAGUCUGCAACUCGACUCCAUGAAGUCGGAAUCGCUAGUAAUCGUAGAUCAGAAUGCUACGGUGAAUACGUUCCCGGGCCUUGUACACACCGCCCG